CCUACGGGAGGCAGCAGUGAGGAAUAUUGGUCAAUGGACGCGAGCCUGAACCAGCCAAGUCGCGUGAAGGAAGACGGCCCUACGGGUUGUAAACUUCUUUUAUAAAGGAGUAAAGUGAGGCACGUGUGCCUUUUUGUAUGUACUUUAUGAAUAAGGAUCGGCUAACUCCGUGCCAGCAGCCGCGGUAAUACGGAGGAUUCGAGCGUUAUCCGGAUUUAUUGGGUUUAAAGGGAGCGUAGAUGGGUGGUUAAGUCAGUUGUGAAAGUUUGCGGCUCAACCGUAAAAUUGCAUUUGAUACUGGCAGUCUUGAGUAUAGUUGAGGUAGGCGGAAUGCGUGGUGUAGCGGUGAAAUGCUUAGAGAUCACGAAGAACUCCGAUUGCGAAGGCAGCUUACUAAGCUGCCACUGACAUUGAUGCUCGAAAGUGUGGGUAGCAAACAGGAUUAGAUACCCUUGUAGUC
rnacentral:rRNA from 1 species